rnacentral:rRNA from 1 species
CUCCACGGUUAAUACCCAUAGACGAUGACAUUAGCUGCAGAAUAAGCACCGGCUAACUCUGUGCCAGCAGCCGCGGUAAUACAGAGGGUGCAAGCGUUAAUCGGAAUUACUGGGCGUAAAGCGAGCGUAGGUGGCUUGAUAAGUCAGAUGUGAAAGCCCCGGGCUUAACCUGGGAACGGCAUCUGAUACUGUUAGGCUAGAGUAGGUGAGAGGAAGGUAGAAUUCCAGGUGUAGCGGUGAAAUGCGUAGAGAUCUGGAGGAAUACCGAUGGCGAAGGCAGCCUUCUGGCAUCAUACUGACACUGAGGUUCGAAAGCGUGGGUAGCAAACAGGAUUAGAUACCCUGGUAGUCCACGCCGUAAACGAUGUC